CCUACGGGAGGCAGCAGUGGGGAAUAUUGCACAAUGGGGGAAACCCUGAUGCAGCGACGCCGCGUGAGUGAAGAAGGAAUUCGUUAUGUAAAGCUCUAUCAGCAGGGAAGAAAAUGACGGUACCUGAGUAAGAAGCCCCGGCUAACUACGUGCCAGCAGCCGCGGUAAUACGUAGGGGUCAAGCGUUAUCCGGAUUUACUGGGUGUAAAGGGAGCGUAGACGGGAGUGCAAGGCUGGAGUGAAAGGCGGGGGCCCAAACCCCGGACUGCUCUGGAAACUGUACGGCUGGAGUGCAGGAGAGGUAAGUGGAAUGCGUGGUGUAGCGGUGAAAUGCGUAGAUAUUAGGAGGAACACCAGUGGCGAAGGCGGCUUACUGGACUGUAACUGACGUUGAGGCUCGAAAGCGUGGGGAGCAAACAGGAUUAGAUACCCUUGUAGUC
rnacentral:rRNA from 1 species